GUCCACGCUGUAAACGAUGGUUACUAGCUGUUUGGACUUCGGUCUGAGUGGCUAAGCGAAAGUGAUAAGUAACCCACCUGGGGAGUACGAUCGCAAGAUUGAAACUCAAAGGAAUUGACGGGGGCCCGCACAAGCGGUGGAGCAUGUGGUUUAAUUCGAUGAUACGCGAGGAACCUUACCAGGGCUUAAAUGUGGAUUGACAGGGGCAGAGACGCCUUUUUCUUCGGACAAUUCACAAGGUGCUGCAUGGUU
rnacentral:rRNA from 1 species